AUGAUCUCUAUUUUUAGGGCUAGUGGAAAUAGUGGGAUGAUGUUAUUAUUCAUCUUCAUGUUCUGAUAGCUAUUUCCUUAACCGUUAACAUCUUCCCACCCUUCACGAAACCUGGCACAGUGGGAAGAAGUGGAGGGAGAGGGGAUGACAAAGGAUGAGGCUGCGUUACGUGCACAUGCCAACUCCACGCGAGGAAGUUCUUAGGCACCAGGACCUGGAGAGCAGAAGCGAGCGGCCUGCCCUGAUGCUCUAGGAGCCUGUAGGCUGUGGACAGGAGCGAAAGCAUCAUAAACUGUGCUAACAGCUGCCAUUCCGGGGGCCUCCUGGGCUCAGGCUCUAUGCUAGAGUGGUUUCAGUCACAGCUAUAACCUUGCAGGCUCUGCAGGUGGUGGCAAAAUGUGACCUGUGACGUCAGGCAAAACCACUUCCCGUUGAUGCCCACGCAUCACCUGCACGGCGUAAGGGUUGGACCUGGUGGUCUCCUCAGCGCUGACCCGCUCUGCUCAGCCACUAACCCACUGCUGCAUUUGGAGAAGAUGAAUCUCCAUGUCGCUGUACUCCUGUCGGAUGGGUUAUCUUUAUUGCAAUAGUUCACCUUUACAGUUAAAAAAAUAUUACCCUAAACACUAACUGUACUGUGAAAUGUGGGUUUUGAGGAUCUUUAAGGAAUGGUGUCAGUGGAUCCAGGGUUUAACCUAGAUUCCAUCAACUAUGGGCGCCUGGGACUUGCUCUGCCUUUCUAAGUCUUCUGAUUUCAGGAAGACAUCUUACCCUGGAAGGUUACUGCAGGGCUCAUGUAAGGUGAUAGAUCUGAAAGAAUGACAUUGGGAAGAUGAGAAACCAAGCGAGUGUCUGCAGGAAUGGAAUUUCCAAUAUGAUAUUCUCCAUUGGCCAAGAUGUGGCAGGCAGGUACAAGGCAAGGAGCAGGCAAUUAGGAGUAAACACAGGGCACUCCCAGAUCCAAGCCCAUCGGCAAAAUUGGGAAAGAGCUUGCUGACAAAGUAAGAGUCAGGAAAAGGGUGGCUGGGCUCUGCUGAGGAGAAAGAUGGCCACUAUUUUGAGCAGGACCAGGACCUCAUGGAUCUAGACAGAAACUCAUUGCCAAGUUUUUCCUUGUGUCAAUCUGUCUCCUUCUACCGGAACCUGAGAGUGGGGUCAGCGAGUCUCAGGUUCAUGGUGCUUCUCAGAUUGCGCGCUUUGGUAUCAGCUGGCUGUCCCCUGCCAUGGCUUUCAGGGCUGAGGAAAUGGGCCAGGGAAGUGAGAUGACAGACCUGAGGUCACAGCACGGUGGAGAACCUCCGGGCGAGAAGGAGAUGGGCAUGGCCUGCACCCCCGCCGGGGGCUGGCCGAAGAACUGAGCUCACCCCACUGCUCCGGGGCCACUGGAUCUCUCCAGGACAAGACUCAUCACAAGAUUAGUUGGCAGCCGGGUGUGGUGGCACACAGCUGCAAUCCCAGCAUUUGGGGGACUGGGGUGGUGGAUCCCUGUGAGCUGAAGGUGGAUCUGAGCCACAUAAAUGAGUUCAAGGCCAGCCUGAACUACGUUUGUGAGAGCCUGUCUCAAACACCAAAGGAGGAAGUUAGAGCCAUGAGCAAUCUGUUCUUGUAUAAUAGGCUGGAGCCAACAGCAUGAUGUAUGGAAUAUUGUGUCCUGCUAGGUUCUGUGACAAAAAUCUAAGUUUACACUACUUGCCCUUGAGCAGGACCAGCAGAUCCCUCCUGCCAUGGUGGAGAACUGUGUCCUCUUCAGUGGCUUCCCUGAGGUGGAAGACUGCAAUCCAGCCACUAACAAUCAAUUGGGCUUUGUCUUCUCCAUUAGAAUGGUGGAAAUCAUUACUGUUGUUAUCAUGCCGUUAGGCGAUUAUUUAUUCAGGGCCUCGCGUGUGGCCCACACCAUGCCAUUAUCUAUGCGAUCUCCCAUCUGCACAAUCAACCAGCUGCACACGAUCUGCAGAUGCCUCCGCUGAGGCUCAGCAUGGGUAGGUAACUUGCCUGAGGUCACACAGGUGCUAAGAGGCUGAGCCAGGACAAAAACCCAGUUAUGUAUGUGUGGCUCCAAGCCUGUGGUCCCCCUCAUGCACUGUGGGCUCAGGGACAGCGGAGAAGCAACGGUAAGAAUGAAAACACUAGACAGUUGGCUGCAUCAAAAUCACCAGAACCAUCAAAACUUGAAAGUCAGCAACCAAAAUCAUCAAUCCUUCCAUGGACCUAACUGGAUUCUCCAAAAAGCCUACAGGUGACACGUAAAAAGACAAUGUCAUUAAAUCUGAUGAGUGCUAAUUAAGCAUCUCGGGAACCCUUUUGAAAGAUAAUCUUUGUUAGCUGACUCAAUGAUUUCAUCCAGCUGGACCAUUUAGAAAAAUGACUCAAAGAAGCUCUUUUUAAAUAGCAUCAUUUAGGGUCUGCUGAGAAGAAAAGAAAUGGUAGAAUGCAAGUGAUUAGCUUGGAGACGUGGGGCAGUGCUGCAGGCAAAGCAGAAGGGAGCGAGGUGGCCCAGCCACGGCUGUAGAAAAUGUCUCCCAUUGCUAUCGCUGGGAAGGGUGGAGGUGGCAGCCACCUACCUCUACCUCCAGUGGCACCUGCUGUCCUGUCAUCAGUAGCAGGAAGCUAGGAGGGCUCAGGCCUGCAUAGAGAGGUGACAGGUAAGCUGGGGACACCCUAUGAGAAAGGCCUUGAGCUUUUUGGGCAGUGAGCCUACUUCAGGAAAUGCUCCUCUGGAGAAUAAUCGGCCAGCCAGAGUCAUCCCAGCAUGGUCACUCACCAUUCUGGCUGAAACGUGGUUUGCUCCCCAGUGGCUUGUGUGUUGAAAGCACUGUCCCCAGAGUGAUGUUGGGAGGUGGCAGAGCUUUAAGUGGCAGAGCCUGGUAUCCUCCUUAGAUUAUGAGGGCAUCACCUGCAGAAGGGACUCAUUUAGUUCUUGAGUAUGAGUUGUUAUUUAUAAAGGAAGACUGGCCCCUCCCCACCCCUGGCUCCUGUGUCACCAUGUGACCCUUCCACAUUGUGAUGCCGUCCACCUGGAGGUCCACCUCAGGUGGAUGGUGCUGUGCUCUUGGAUUGCCAGAACUGUAAGAAAAGGAAACCUCUUUUCUUGAUAAAUUAUCUAGCCUUGGGUAGCUUUGUUCUAGCACCAGAAAGCAAACUGGCACACCUACCAGGCAUGGUAGCCAUGUCUACAGAUGCUGUCUCUGCUUCUUACCAACUACUCCAUGGCUUGGUUUUAAUAUCUAAGUUUUACAUGUGCAAACAACCUAAACUCAGCCAGAUUAGUUAGUAUGCCCAAGUCUGCAUGUGUGGAAUUUCUACCGCGGGUCUUCUUAUCAGGAUCCAAACAUUUCUAUCUAAUGCAGGGCCCCUUCUUUGAGCCAACUCACACCGACUUCUUUCUGAAUAGUCGGAAAUCAUGGAGGAAGAACCCAAAAAAUAGGGCACGCAAAAUCUAGAAAAGGAUUUGUUUAAGAAGAUAAGUAACCCUGCUACAAUAAGGAACCAGUGACAAGAGAGGCCAGAGGCACACAGAGGGGACUGCUGCGUGGCUGAGAGUAACAGCCCCGAGCACUGUCCCUGGUCUGGCACUGAAGGCUGAACAGACAGGAGCCAGGAGGCCCCUGCACCCCGGCGGGGGACUGCGCGCAGGAUUCCCAGUGUCAGGAGAAACAAGGACCAACAUGGGGGCGCGGGGACAGGGAAGAGGAUUCUGGGAAAAACUUUAAAAUCUUGCUCUAACUUUCUUCUUUUUAGCUAAAAAAGAGCUGCAGUAAAAUUUAUGUAGAGGGAGAUGAAGUUCAACUCCCCAGUUCUGGUAAACCUAGACGCCCGACUGAGCCCUGCAGGUCGGUCUCCCCUGACCCAGGAAGCUGCGUCUGCCCCUCCCCGGGCCAUCUGCUGCUCCCCUCCAGCCGCGGCCUCCACUUGCGGUCAGAGGCCGGCACUUAGCCGGACAAGAACUCCGUGGUGUGCACCGCCGACCAGGCCUGUCUGCGGGUGCAGCGCUUGGGGGUCAGCGGUGCUGGCGUCUCCACCGCGCGUGUUUCCGGAUUUCCGAGUCGCGCUCUCACCCACAGCCCUACGUCAGCGGCAUAGUCAUUACUCUUCUGUGGGUGGAAUGUCACCGCCAUCGAGGAAGCUGCUGUGUAGGGACACAGCUGCGCGCCCCUGCUCUUGUCUUAAAGUCCAUUUUCUGCCCCCAUCCUUCUCCCUCCGUGCUCAGAUCCCCUUCUGCCACAGACGUCAAGGAGUCUUGAGGUGUCGCCCUUCCCAGGUCAACAGUCACAGCCGCAAGAGCCUACAGGGGAAACGAGACUCCCCCGUGCUUCCCACGUGUUCGUUAAGAGUAUGGGAGCACUUGGGCGAGAUUAUUUAGAAGUCUAGGAACGGAUGGCUCCCACUUCCAACCUGUCUUCCCACCGGCCCCGGGCACCUCCUGGUGGUACGGUGAUGCCUCCCUGCCCGCCUGUGCCCCUCACUCAUUGUGCACUCGCCGUACUAAGGGUAGAAGGGGCAACAGAA